GAUGAACGCUGGCGGCGUGCCUAAUACAUGCAAGUCGAGCGAACAGACGAGGAGCUUGCUCCUCUGACGUUAGCGGCGGACGGGUGAGUAACACGUGGAUAACCCACCUAUCAGACUGGGAUAACUUCGGGAAACCGGAGCUAAUACCGGAUAAUACUUGCAACCGCAUGGUUCAUUAGUAAAAGUCGUUUUUUUUGUUGCUUUUAGAGGCUUCCGGGCCGUAUUAGCUAGAUGGUAAGGUAACGGCUUACAAAGGGACCUAUGCGUAGCCGACGUCAGAGGGGGGUCGGCCACCCUGGAGCUGAGACAGCGACCAGGGUCCUGCGGGAGGGCGCAGAAGGGAACCGUACGCAGUGGGCGAAAACCUUACGGAGCGACGGCGAGUCAGUGGUGACGGUCUUCGGAUCGUGAAAAUCUGUUUUUAGGGGAAAACAAAUGUGUGAAUAAAUGUAGCCGACGUGACGGUACCUGAUCAGAAAGCCACGGCUAACUACGUG
rnacentral:rRNA from 1 species